UAAUGACUGCUUUGUAUUGUGAGUUGUUGUUUUCCACAUUGCAUGCAAUUGCUGUGAUUUUGAGUACAAUGAACCAAGCUAUUGUGUCUUGUUAUUAGAAGCCUAGGUUUAGUGCUUUGACAGGCAUGUCGUCUGGCUGUUCCUAGCUAGGCUUCCAGUUAAUGUUGGGCCUGGUUUUUGGGGAGGGGUCUGACUCGGUCCUCUUCCUUUUUUUGUUGCAGUGAAGGCAACUGGCCCAGCCAGAGCGAGAAAAGGAAAGAAAGGAGUGCCAAGCGGGGAGGAGGGAGCCGCUUUGAGCCGUACCCCAGCCCUUCUUCCAAAAGAUACCGAGCCUUCAUCACCAACAUCCCCUUUGACGUCAAGUGGCAGUACCUGAAGGACCUGGUCAAAGAGAAAGUUGGUGAGGUAACAUACGUGGAGCUCUUAAUGGACGCUGAAGGAAAGUCAAGGGGCUGCGCGGUGGUUGAGUUCAAGAUGGAAGAGAGCAUGAAAAAAGCUGUGGAAGUGCUGAACAAGCACAGCCUCAGUGGGAGACCCCUGAAGGUCA